AGAAUGUGGGCAACUCGGCAGUCAUUGCGCAGACACUUUGGUGACUCUAGAUAACCUCGGGUCGAUCGCACGUCCCUGUGACGGCGACAACGCAUUCGGAUGUCUUCCCUAUCAACUUUCGAUAGUACUUUCUGUGCCUACCAUGGUGACCACAGGUAACAGGGGAAUCAGGGUUGGAUUCCGGAGAGGGAGCCUGAGAAACGGCUACCACAUCCAAGGAAGGCAGCAGGCGCGCAAAUUACCCACUCCCGACGCGGGGAGGUAGUGAUGAAAAAUAACAAUACAGGACUCUUUCGAGGCCCUGUAAUUGGAAUGAGUACACUUUAAAUCCUUUAACGAGGAUCUAUUGGAGGGUAAGUCUGGU